rnacentral:lncRNA from 1 species
UAAAUUCCAAAACUCAGAAGCGACGCUAUACACUGUUCUUCUUCACCCAAAAUCAUUCCCAAACUCGCCAAAAUUCAGGCGAGUGAACCCAAACUCACAUCACGCGCUUCCCCCCUUCUAUCCUUUUGCCACAUAGUGUAACAGUCUCUGACAACAACAAGAUUCCCUCCCUCACUUGCCCGUUUUCAAGCUAAAUCACGCGGUUAGAAGGCUCGAAAAGACGUGUGUUGGAUGUGUGAGAGCCGUCAGAUCGAUUUCAUUCAAUCCAAACCUCACAUUCAUCAUGUGCUCGUUUUCAAAGGGGCCUUAUCCGAUUUCUUGAAGAGGGAGUAAGAAUCUGGAGGUUAGGGAUAUAAGGAAGCAUUUUCGGAUAAAAAAGGGGAUUCUUUUCAGAAAAGGUUUUUUUUAGAAAUUUAGGAAAGGAAAAAUUCUAGGGUUCUUGGAGUUUCCUUUUUUUUCUUCAAUUUUCGUUGGGAUUUUUAGAAAAAACAAAGAGCAAAAAAUAUAGUCCGAGUUUCAUUUCUUUGAGUUUUACUUCAUUUCAAGAAAAAAUCAAAAAAAAAUCACUAAGACAUAAUUUUCAUAUUUUUUUCUCUUAAUUUCUUGUUCUAAAAAAUGGAGCUUGAUUGAAGUUGAGUUGGAGUUUGCAUUUAAGCUCUAAAUCCUGCUGCUAUUUCAAAUUUCUGUCCGAGCUUCUGAUUUCUACUCAAUUUUGUUGCUGGUUGUGCUGAUAUUAGCUAUUGGAUUUCACUUGUAAUUAGUGUUUAAGCAAAAUUAAUCAAGGCGUUUGCUGAUUCAGGUUCAUCUCUUGGUUCCUUUAAUCUUUUUUAUUUUAUUUCUCUUUUUCUGUCUUCUUUGUGUUGUUUGAAGUAUUGGUAAGAACUAUGGUUGGUCGAAUGGGGUUUUGCAGUGUCUAUAACAUCUUAAGGGUAUAGUGUGUGCUUAAAAAACAAUCUCGAAUGGGUUCGCAUUCGAAUGUAUGUUUCAAAGUCCGUCCUACUUUGAACAGGUUCAUUUGAGCUGAGUUUCUUCCUGUUUUUGUGCUGUUUGGUUAAAGUGAUCGUCCUUCAAAUCGUAUCUAUCUCUGAUUCAGUUUUUUGCUACAACUUGAGUCAUAUGUCUCCGCUAUUUCUUGCUUUAUUCCUUGUGUGGAUUGGAUAUCAGUGCCGAAUUAGCUAAAAGUCGAUUGGUUUAAGUUUAAAUGACUGUGUUCAUUGGUUCCAAUUUUAUAAUCUGGACUAGUUCUAGUUUAAAUGACCAGCUCGACUAAUUCUGGUGUUUCAUUUGCUAUAUAUGACAUGUUUUAUGCUCAAGGUAAUCUGCUCGUACCUAUUGUUUGGUCUCGACAUAUUCGACAUGAAUCACUGAAUAGUUUCCUUUUUCCGUGAUUCCAUGACCAUUUUCGCAUGUUCUGCGGGUUUGAAGUUGCUGAAGUUAUCUUUGAUAUUAUUUGCUCUUUGUGUCUUACCAUGUUUGAGAGGAUCAGUGAGUGUUCAUGUUUCCAGCAUGCCUAUUCUGUUGGUGAACUUCUUGAACAAGAUUCAAUAUGAAAAUUGUGUAGCAGUAUGACUUUGUUUUCUUUGAAAUCAGUUGAUAUUUGCUAGUUGAGCUAUGUGCCUUUGUGUCUUAUUUUCCUAGCAAGUCCUUGUUUGUUUGGCUGAUUUCAGGCUUAAAAUGUGGUUGUAGGGCAAUAAUAAGUAAUGUGAUCGUCUAAUGUUGAAAGAGGAUUCCAUGUAAGUUGUAAUAAAUUAGUCAGUUAGUCCCAUGUAGAAGCUUAAACUUAAUAGGUCUAACCAACAAACUGAGGGUUGGUUUGUAAAGGGACUUACUAAGUUCAAUGUUUGGAUUUGCUAAGUUCAGUAGUGGGUUUUGCUCAAUUUACAGUCAUUUUGUUAAGGAGUUGGAAUGCAUUUUGAGUUGAUCAUUAGCGGUUUGAUAAAUUUGUGGAAUGCAUUUUGCCUGGAUUGUUAGGAGGCCAGUAAUGUUAAGGUCCUAACUUCUGUGCAAUUGCGAGUUUUUUUACUUACUACUCGCGUUGGUGGUAUUGGCUGUUUUCUUUUAUCAUUGAAUACGGGCUUUCUAUUUUGAUCUGUUUAAAGGGAAUAAAUGUCAACCGUGCAAUGUGUCAAAUCCACGGUAUUGGCUUUACAUUUAGUGACCAAGUCUAUUUUUUCUUAAAGAUUGUGGUGUGGAUAAUAUGGCAAAAAAUGUGGGUUUCUACGGUGAUGUAUUGUAAUUAUUUUGUUUGAGACAUAAGUUGAAGACAAUCAUCCUCGAUAUUAACAUUCUUUUCCUGCUACUCUUUCCCUAUUAUUCUAUAAGAAGCUCUGAACAAUGGUACUGGUUGCACAAGCUUAGACCAAUUGUUGGCAUUUUAUGGUUAGGCGAACCUAUAGGCAUGUAAUUAAAUCAUCAUAAAUACGGGUACGAUUCCCGUGACGUCGUUGUGACACCUAAUUUUAAAUUAGUUUUAAUAUGAAUAUCUAUAGUUCAUUUAGUUGAAUAGUUUUGAGGCGUGUCAUUCAUACAUUUAAAU